rnacentral:rRNA from 1 species
GACGAACGCUGGCGGCGUGCCUAACACAUGCAAGUCGAGCGAGUGAAUCUCCUUCGGGAGUGAAACUAGCGGCGAACGGGUGAGUAACACGUGGGCAACCUGCCUCAUAGAGGGGAAUAGCCUUUCGAAAGGAAGAUUAAUACCGCAUAAGAUUGUAGCUUCGCAUGAAGUAGCAAUUAAAGGAGUAAUCCGCUAUGAGAUGGGCCCGCGGCGCAUUAGCUAGUUGGUGAGGUAACGGCUCACCAAGGCGACGAUGCGUAGCCGACCUGAGAGGGUGAUCGGCCACAUUGGGACUGAGACACGGCCCAGACUCCUACGGGAGGCAGCAGUGGGGAAUAUUGCACAAUGGGGGAAACCCUGAUGCAGCAACGCCGCGUGAGUGAUGACGGCCUUCGGGUUGUAAAGCUCUGUCUUCAGGGACGAUAAUGACGGUACCUGAGGAGGAAGCCACGGCUAACUACGUGCCAGCCGCCGCCGUAA